rnacentral:rRNA from 1 species
UACGUAGGGGGCAAGCGUUGUCCGGAUUUAUUGGGCGUAAAGAGCGUGUAGGCGGCCAUACAGGUCCGUUGUGAAAACUGGAGGCUUAACCUCCAGACGUCGAUGGAAACCGUAUGGCUAGAGUCCGGAAGAGGAGAGUGGAAUUCCUGGUGUAGCGGUGAAAUGCGCAGAUAUCAGGAAGAACACCAGUGGCGAAGGCGGCUCACUGGCCCGGUACUGACGCUGAGGUGCGAAAGCGUGGGGAGCGAACAGG